rnacentral:misc_RNA from 1 species
GAAAUGCGAUAAGUAGUGUGAAUUGCAGAAUUCAGUGAAUCAUCGAAUCUUUGAACGCACAUUGCGCCCUUUGGUAUUCCGAAGGGCAUGCCUGUUCGAGCGUCAUGUAAACCAUCAAGCUUUUGCUUGGUCUUGGGUGCCUUUGUCUCGCGCAACUGCAAGACUCACCUCAAAGUCAUCGGCUGCUGGAGUGUCGGUCAUGGAGCACAGUACAUUGUCGCUGCCUGCCGCGCGCCCGUAGUUGCCGUCACGCAUUUUUACAUUCAGGAUUGACCUCGGAUCAGGUAGGAAUACCCGCUGAACUUAA